rnacentral:rRNA from 1 species
UGGGGAAUAUUGCACAAUGGGCGCAAGCCUGAUGCAGCCAUGCCGCGUGUGUGAAGAAGGCCUUCGGGUUGUAAAGCACUUUCAGCGAGGAGGAAGGUGGUGAGCUUAAUACGCUCAUCAAUUGACGUUACUCGCAGAAGAAGCACCGGCUAACUCCGUGCCAGCAGCCGCGGUAAUACGGAGGGUGCAAGCGUUAAUCGGAAUUACUGGGCGUAAAGCGCACGCAGGCGGUUUGUUAAGUCAGAUGUGAAAUCCCCGGGCUCAACCUGGGAACUGCAUUUGAAACUGGCAAGCUAGAGUCUCGUAGAGGGGGGUAGAAUUCCAGGUGUAGCGGUGAAAUGCGUAGAGAUCUGGAGGAAUACCGGUGGCGAAGGCGGCCCCCUGGACGAAGACUGACGCUCAGGUGCGAAAGCGUGGGGCAGCAAACAGGAUUAGAUACCCUGGUAGUCCAGCGCUGUAAACGAUGUCGAUUUUGGAGGUUGUGCCCUUGAGGCGUGGCUUCCGGAGCUAACGCGUUAAAUCGACCGCCUGGGGAGUACGGCCGCAAGGUUAAAACUCAAAUGAAUUGACGGGGUC